rnacentral:rRNA from 1 species
AUUGAACGCUGGCGGCAGGCCUAACACAUGCAAGUCGAACGAGUGGCGGACGGGUGAGUAAUGUCUGGGAAACUGCCUGAUGGAGGGGGAUAACUACUGGAAACGGUAGCUAAUACCGCAUACCAUCGGAUGUGCCCAGAUGGGAUUAGCUAGUAGGUGGGGUAAAGGCUCACCUAGGCGACGAUCCCUAGCUGGUCUGAGAGGAUGACCAGCCACACUGGAACUGAGACACGGCCCAGACUCCUACGGGAGGCAGCAGUGGGGAAUAUUGCGCAAUGGACGAAAGUCUGAUGCAGCCAUGCCGCGUGUGUGAAGAAGGCCUUCGGGUUGUAAAGUACUUUCAGCGGGGAGGCGUUACCCGCCGAAGAAGCACCGGCUAACUCCGUGCCAGCAGCCGCGGUAAUAC